CAGAAUUUCCUCUACAACGUGCUGGAGCGGCCGCGCGGCUGGGCGUUCAUCUACCACGCCUACGUGUGUCUGUGCCUGCCUGUGCGUUUCUAAACAGAAU
rnacentral:sRNA from 1 species